CAGUCGCCACGGGAAUACGUAGGGUGCAAGCGUUAAUCGGAAUUACUGGGCGUAAAGCGUGCGCAGGCGGUUAUAUAAGACAGAUGUGAAAUCCCCGGGCUCAACCUGGGAACUGCAUUUGUGACUGUAUAGCUAGAGUACGGCAGAGGGGGAUGGAAUUCCGCGUGUAGCAGUGAAAUGCGUAGAUAUGCGGAGGAACACCGAUGGCGAAGGCAAUCCCCUGGGCCUGUACUGACGCUCAUGCACGAAAGCGUGGGGAGCAAACAGGAUUAGAUACCCCUGUAGUCCCUGUCUUUUAUAC
rnacentral:rRNA from 1 species